CCCCCAGCGAAGAGCCCGAGUUGGAAAGAUUUGUGGAAACGCCGAGGGUCCGGCGGAGGCGCUUACCGGAGGAGGGCCGGCAGGGACGGUCGCGGCGGCUGUCGUUAACCGGAAGGGAGCGCGCUUUACGGCUCCGCGUGAGAUCUACUUCCGCCCCUGGGAGCGCGAUUCGCCUCCCGCGGGGUUUGGGGGGUAAAAGGGGCGGGACUUGAGGAAGAGGAGCGGGAAGCGGGUUUCCUCUCGCGGGAAGAGAAGAAUAGAAGGCGCCUGUUAUUUUUACUUUUGUUAUUGGUAAGCCGAAUGGUCGUCCCUGCAGUUACCCACGCCGGAAGCCGGGGAACAGGUGAAUCUCUCCAAUGAAUACAUACAUAACUUUGGAAAGCCUACCCUGCAGCAGAAAUUGUAACAGGUGCUGGAUGUACAGUGAAAAGAUAACAUAUUUCCACAUUCUUGGGAGCUUACAGCACAUCAGGGGAAUUGGCUCACACAAUUAUGGAAGCCCAGAAGUCCCAACAUCAACAGUCAACAACAAUCUGGAGACCCGGGAGAGCCAAUGUCAUAAUUCAGUCUGAAUCCAAGUAUGAAGGCAAGAGAAGACCAAUGUCCUAGGUCAAAGGCAAUCAGGGCAUAGUACAACUGGCCAGACUUGAGCUUUCCUAUUUGUGGCUGAGUCUCUGAUACGCCUCCCUGAGAUUUCACUCCAAUUACUUUGAUCCCAUGAAGAGUCACGCAUUUCCAGUUAAUAUACGAGCAGCAAACCUUGUCUAUUAUGUAUAGAUGUAUGUGCUUACCCCGAUAGGAUAAUUCUUUUUCUUGGGUUUUACGGUUGUUCUGUUGUUCUUAUUUGUGAAGUCAGUGCUGUGUGAGCAGCAUAAACCAGAUGUAGAAACUCAAGGGAGGAAAAGUCAUUAAUGGCUAACACGAUCAGGUGACCUGUCUGUGGACGACUAGUAGCUUAAUCAGAACUGAUUUGACCUGAAACCUCUAUCAGAGGAAUGCCCAAAGGAUUUUUUUUUAAUGAAGUUAUUUUACAGAAGGGACUGUAAGAAAGUUUACUCUGAAUUUCCAUAGUAAUGAAAAAUCUUUUUUGAAGUUAAUAAUCAUUUUUAUCAGAAAUCACAAUCUGUACGCUGGCAUCUACCAUGAAAAGGAUGCUAAGUACCCGUUUCUCCUUCAAUUCUUAAAAAAUUGAAGUUGAAGUUUAAAAAUGAAAAACCUGUAUUUUAAGACUUUCUAAAAUCUACCUUUUCUAAAAUCUAUCUUUUCUAAAAUCAUGGAGCCUGGGGGUUAAGUGUUGGUUGGUUAAGUGUCUGCCUUCAGCUCAGGUCAUGAUCCCAGGAUCCUGGGGUCUAGUGUCGUUGGACUCUCUGCUCAGUGGGGAGUCUGCUUUUCCCUCUCCCUCUGCCCCUCCUCCCUGCCUGUGCUCUCUCCUCCUCUUUCUCUCUGUCUGUCUCCCUCUCAAAUAAAUAAAUGAACCUUAAAAAUAAAAUAAAUCA
rnacentral:lncRNA from 1 species